rnacentral:rRNA from 1 species
GGUAGUCCACGCCGUAAACGAUGUCGACUUGGAGGUUGUGCCCUUGAGGCGUGGCUUCCGGAGCUAACGCGUUAAGUCGACCGCCUGGGGAGUACGGCCGCAAGGUUAAAACUCAAAUGAAUUGACGGGGGCCCGCACAAGCGGUGGAGCAUGUGGUUUAAUUCGAUGCAACGCGAAGAACCUUACCUACUCUUGACAUCCAGAGAACUUAGCAGAGAUGCUUUGGUGCCUUCGGGAACUCUGAGACAGGUGCUGCAUGGCUGUCGUCAGCUCGUGUUGUGAAAUGUUGGGUUAAGUCCCGCAACGAGCGCAACCCUUAUCCUUUGUUGCCAGCGGUUAGGCCGGGAACUCAAAGGAGACUGCCAGUGAUAAACUGGAGGAAGGUGGGGAUGACGUCAAGUCAUCAUGGCCCUUACGAGUAGGGCUACACACGUGCUACAAUGGCGCAUACAAAGAGAAGCGACCUCGCGAGAGCAAGCGGACCUCAUAAAGUGCGUCGUAGUCCGGAUUGGAGUCUGCAACUCGACUCCACGAAGUCGGAAUCGCUAGUAAUCGUAGAUCAGAAUGCUACGGUGAAUACGUUCCCGGGCCUUGUACACACCGCCCGUCACACCAUGGGAGUGGGUUGCAAAAGAAGUAGGUAGCUUAACCUUCGGGAGGGCGCUUACCACUUUGUGAUUCAUGACUGGGGUGAAGUCGUAACAAGGUAACCGUAGGGGAACCUGC